rnacentral:rRNA from 1 species
CCGACACAGGUGGGUGGGAUGAGUAUUCUAAGGCGCGUGGAAGAACUCUCUUUAAGGAACUCUGCAAAAUAGCACCGUAUCUUCGGUAUAAGGUGUGGUUCGCUUCGUAUUAGGAUUUACUCCGAAAGCGAAGAAACUUACAACAAAGAGUCCCUCCCGACUGUUUACCAAAAACACAGCACUCUGCUAACUCGUAAGAGGAUGUAUAGGGUGUGACGCCUGCCCGGUGCUCGAAGGUUAAUUGAUGGGGUUAGCAUUAGCGAAGCUCUUGAUCGAAGCCCGAGUAAACGGCGGCCGUAACUAUAACGGUCCUAAGGUAGCGAAAUUCCUUGUCGGUUAAAUACCGACCUGCAUGAAUGGCGUAACGAGAUGGGAGCUGUCUCAAAGAGGGAUCCAGUGAAAUUGUAGUGGAGGUGAAAAUUCCUCCUACCCGCGGCAAGACGGAAAGACCCCGUGGACCUUUACUACAGCUUGACACUGCUACUUGGAUAAGAAUGUGCAGGAUAGGUGGGAGGCUUUGAGUAUAUGACGCCAGUUGUAUAUGAGCCAUUGUUGAGAUACCACUCUUUCUUAUUUGGGUAGCUAACCAGCUUGAGUUAUCCUCAAGUGGGACAAUGUCUGGUGGGUAGUUUGACUGGGGCGGUCGCCUCCCAAAUAAUAACGGAGGCUUACAAAGGUUGGCUCAGAACGGUUGGAAAUCGUUCGUAGAGUAUAAAGGUAUAAGCCAGCUUAACUGCAAGACAUACAAGUCAAGCAGAGACGAAAGUCGGUCUUAGUGAUCCGGUGGUUCUGUGUGGAAGGGCCAUCGCUCAAAGGAUAAAAGGUACCCCGGGGAUAACAGGCUGAUCUCCCCCAAGAGCUCACAUCGACGGGGAGGUUUGGCACCUCGAUGUCGGCUCAUCGCAUCCUGGGGCUGGAGCAGGUCCCAAGGGUAUGGCUGUUCGCCAUUUAAAGCGGUACGCGAGCUGGGUUCAGAACGUCGUGAGACAGUUCGGUCCCUAUCUGCCGUGGGCGUAAGAAGAUUGAAGAGAUUUGACCCUAGUACGAGAGGACCGGGUUGAACAAACCACUGGUGUAGCUGUUGUUCUGCCAAGAGCAUCGCAGCGUAGCUAAGUUUGGAAAGGAUAAACGCUGAAAGCAUCUAAGCGUGAAGCCAACUCUAAGAUGAAUCUUCUCUAAGCUCUCUAGAAGACUACUAGUUUGAUAGGCUGGGUGUGUAAUGGAUGAAAGUCCUUUAGCUGACCAGUACUAAUAGAGCGUUUGGCUUAUCUUUAAUAAAGCAU